ensembl:lncRNA
GAUAGGUUCCAAGCAGGAGAUGGAUGCGACCCGGCUCAGGUGUUCACUGGCGCCCCCUGGGGGCUGCGGGAGAAGUAGACGUCAGAGCGAGGGCAGGAGCCUGGGACCAGGGCAGAGAGGCUGCGCUGUCAAGGUUAGGGAAGCUGGGCUGGACCAGGUCGCGGCCAUGGAGGUGGGGAGACGUGAAGUCCAAGAUUUGGAUGGGAUCUUCCUGACCCAGGGUCUCCUGCAUUGGCAGAUGGAUUUCACUGAGCCACCAAGGAAGCCCAACUCACAUUUCGAGGCGCUUAUUUCAGGCUGGAAACCUCACAUUGCCAGAGAUGGAGCCACCAGAUACCAAGGAAACAUUGGCUGAAAGAAUUUGAAUUCAGAAGAUGGAGCCCAUUGGGAAAAAAAAAAA